rnacentral:misc_RNA from 1 species
GAUGAAGAACGUAGCAAAAUGCGAUAAGUAAUGUGAAUUGCAGAAUUCAGUGAAUCAUCGAAUCUUUGAACGCACAUUGCGCCCGCUGGUAUUCCGGCGGGCAUGCCUGUUCGAGCGUCAUUUCAACCCUCAAGCCCCCGGGUUUGGUGUUGGGGAUCGGCUCUGCCCUUCUGGGCGGUGCCGCCCCCGAAAUACAUUGGCGGUCUCGCUGCAGCCUCCAUUGCGUAGUAGCUAACACCUCGCAACUGGAACGCGGCGCGGCCAUGCCGUAAAACCCCAACUUCUGAAUGUUGACCUCGGAUCAGGUAGGAAUACCCGCUGAACUUAAGCAUAUCAAUAAGCGGA